AGAGAGAGCAGGACAUGAACAGAAUAUGAGGCCAUAAAAAAUGGAGAGAACUCCGUUCAAAUGUCAGCAGGGGACAGGGAGACCUGCUCAGUAAUAAGAUGCAUUUUGGCUCACUAGAAAUGCUGGAGUAUCCAGAGCUCUCUUGACCUGGAGCAGGACGCUCCUUAAGACCUUUCUUACUGGGAAAACAGCGAAGCAGCUUCCAUCAAUCCACCACCUCUCACAGAGGGCAGACCUAUGGCAGGGACCACCUGCCUGUGUAAAGUCUGCCUGAUCACACAGACCAUGAAAACAGCGAAGCAGCUUCCAUCAAUCCACCACCUCUCACAGAGGGCAGACCUAUGGCAGGGACCACCUGCCUGUGUAAAGUCUGCCUGAUCACACAGACCAUGCACGUCUACACUACAUCAGCUCAACCAACAGCGCACCAACUAUGUGGCAGGCAUGGUGUUAGAUUCAUGGUCCAAGGGUGAGACCGCUGUAGCACCUUCCUCCAAACAGUGCACAUGGUUGUGUGGGAAGAAAAAACCCGGGAGAAGAAGAUUGUAGCUCUGAGGCAGGUUCUAUAAGAACGUUACAGGUAUGGGAUUCAAGAUGGAGGAGUCAAUCUGGAAUGCUUCUGAAGAUGAGAGGAGAAAGAUUUCUUAUGAGACGGCUUCGCUGAUGAGUGAGUGCUACCUUUGGGAACAGCGUGCCCUGGAAUAAAAACCAAUACAGAGAACUUCGUCCAAGCAAAAAUCAAGAGUAAGAAAUCCUCAUUACAAGGAUUUAGUAACUGG